rnacentral:rRNA from 1 species
CCUACGGGCGGCAGCAGUAGGGAAUCUUCCGCAAUGGGCGAAAGCCUGACGGAGCAACGCCGCGUGAGUGAUGAAGGUCUUCGGAUCGUAAAACUCUGUUAUUAGGGAAGAACAAAUGUGUAAGUAACUAUGCACGUCUUGACGGUACCUAAUCAGAAAGCCACGGCUAACUACGUGCCAGCAGCCGCGGUAAUACGUAGGUGGCAAGCGUUAUCCGGAAUUAUUGGGCGUAAAGCGCGCGUAGGCGGUUUUUUAAGUCUGAUGUGAAAGCCCACGGCUCAACCGUGGAGGGUCAUUGGAAACUGGAAAACUUGAGUGCAGAAGAGGAAAGUGGAAUUCCAUGUGUAGCGGUGAAAUGCGCAGAGAUAUGGAGGAACACCAGUGGCGAAGGCGACUUUCUGGUCUGUAACUGACGCUGAUGUGCGAAAGCGGGGGGAUCAAACAGGAUUAGAUACCCCAGUAGUC